UUGGAGGGCAAGUCUGGUGCCAGCAGCCGCGGUAAUUCCAGCUCCAAUAGCGUAUAUUAAAGUUGUUGCAGUUAAAAAGCUCGUAGUUGAAUUUCGGGAUUGACGUGAUGGUCAUGCCUUAAGGGGUAUGAACUGUUACUGUUGAUUUCUCACCUUCUGGAGAAACUUGAUGUCCUUUAUUGGGUGUCUUGCGGAUCCAGGACCUUUACCUUGAAAAAAUUAGAGUGUUUAAAGCAGGCAUUUUUGCUCGAAUACAUUAGCAUGGAAUAAUAGAAUAGUACGGCAUGGUUCUAUUUUGUUGGUUUCUAGGAUCACCGUAAUGAUUAAUAGGGAUAGUUGGGGGCAUUAGUAUUCAAUUGUCAGAGGUGGAAUUCUUGGAUUUAUUGAAGACUAACUACUGCGAAAGCAUUUGCCAAGGAUGUUUUCAUUAAUCAAGAACGAAAGUUAGGGGAUCGAAGACGAUCAGAUACCGUCGUAGUCUUAACCAUAAACUAUGCCGACUAGGAAUCAGACGAUGUUAAUUUUUUAAUGACUCGUUCGGCGCCUUACGGGAAAC
rnacentral:rRNA from 1 species